UUUUGUCAUCCGGUGAUGCAGCAAUAAUUCUUGGAGAAUAUUAAAACUCAAGUUGAUUCUGGAGGCUGGAAGCCUGUCAGCCUCUGAUCUCUGUUUACUGCUGUUACAUACAGAAGAUUCGCUUUGAAGCAUUCAUUUAAGGGAGUGACUUAUGGUUCCUUUCCUUGACCUUAGCCCAAGUUUCAGAUCAAUAAAUUAGCAAUAGAAUGAAUGACCUUACCUCACAGGAUUGAUGUAGAAACAAUGAUGGAAGGCAAAUGGGCACAAAAGAUCCGGCAUUGAAGACAAGGAUAUUUCAAGGAUCAGGGUCUCUGAAUAAGAAGAAAUUUAAAUUGAUAUUUCAAGGAUCUGCUAUCCGAGAGAGGAAUUGAUUAUUUAAACUGAUCUGCUCCGAAGCCAAGAUAUUCAGGAGAAUAAAAUAUUUGCUUUUGCAUUUGAA